rnacentral:lncRNA from 1 species
AUGGAGGCCCAUCGGCCUAUUUUUGCCUGCCUUGCUUGUCUCCUGAAAGUUUUACUGCCAGAGCCCAGAUUGUUCUUUUUGGAAGGAGAAGAUUCCGUCUCCGCAGGGGUAAACAAGCCGCGGCAACAGCAGCCAGUGCCAGCGCGUCUCGCGGACUCCCUUCCUCCAGAGAGCUCCUUGCGCACUUGCCUGGCUUCCGUCCUGUGCCCUCGAGCCCAUGAUGCCCCCUCCUCCUUGAGCCGUGCCCGCCUAGCCACUUCUCCGUGGAGUCCUCCCUGGCCUCUGCAGGAAACAACUCAACCUUCAGGCGUCUGCAUUCCCCACUCCAUGCCAUCUGACUGCCCACGGUCAGCAUGGUCCACCCCGUGGCACCCCCAUCACCAGCGUCAGAGUGGGCAGAGACCAGGGUGCAGGGGGUCCCACCGUGGCUGUGCUGAGCCACCACCUCUGAUCCUUUUUCAUUCCCAUAUCUCCCCCCUACUCCACCCAGAGGCUGGACUGUCAUGGGGACUGGUGGGUGCAGGACCAGGCAGGCAGGGGCUCGCCAAGCCUGUGUCCCAUCCACGCUGAGCCCGGCCAGCCACAUCUGCACG